AAUUAUAACAAUUUUUGCAGUCAUAUGAAUUGUUAAGUUUAUUUACUUUGAAUUGUAACUGAGAGGACUAUAUAUGAAGUUAAUUCUGUUGACAUUUGAACUAGAUGAAUAACUGAUCAAAUAUGAGUGGUUAUUUGUAUGAUGGUUCAACUUUUUUUUCUCUGCAUGCAUACACAGACAGUUUGAUAUGUAAGGUACACUCUUCCAAAACAGAGGGGUUUCUUUAGUGAUGUUUAUGAAGCAUAAUUAAUGGAAUAUUUCUUACAUGUAAUUACCAUAUAAUUUGUACAGUGAUAUGAUAUGUUUGUUUGAUUUUAUUGUUUCAAGUCAAUUCUUGUAUUUAUUUAUUUCUUCUGUACAUUGUGUAUAUACAAUUAUUAUAUACUAUUAGUAAAAUGAAAAUGUUCCACAAUUGUGCAGUAACUAAUUAAGAUGAACAAUUUUUUUUUACAUAAUCAUUAAGUUAUUCAUUCAUGGACUCAUGGACUAUAUGAGAGGCUUUAUAAAUUAUCAUUGUUGUACAAUUAAAUGCAUAUUGGAGACUGUCUGACCUGCAGGUAGUUCUUUUCCUUUCAUUUACAGGAUUAUGAGUAUCGGUAUGUUAUUAAUAAUUAAUUUCACUAAAGAGUGAGAACUGAUUCUAAAUUAAAAUUUGUAAACCGU
rnacentral:misc_RNA from 1 species